CAAGCCUUUCAACUCCCAGGAUUUUUGGCAGAUCAGCAUUUGUGCCAAUUUUUAAAGAGGCUGAGAAAGCUUAUUGUGAAGAAUGAUUUUUAGUUCUAUUUUUUUCAUCUGCUAAUGUUGUGUGUUCAGCCAAAGCAUGAACAGCAUCCCACCAGCCAUAUUGUACUACAUUAUGAAAUUGAGAAUUGCAUUAACAGGAUAAUCUCAUAGAUAUUUCCGAGACAGGAGAAAUGUGCGCAAUCAUUUUCUAAAGGGCAAGGAGAAAAUGGCAUCCAAUUGGACAGCAGUUGAUACCGGAAAAGAAGAGUCCAGCCCAAGUGAGCGUCUGGGCUCCUUUCUGUGACAGACGUCACCCUCCCAGCCAGCCUGCCAGUGCCCCAGCAGCAUAUGCUGUAAUCUGGAAGAUGCGGUUUCUAGUUACCAACCUGAUAUCUCUCUGCAGCAUGAAAAUGAAGUGACUAAUGUCAGAAAAACGAACAAACAAGGUAAACAAACAGGCAAGCAAAUGAACAAACAAAACAAUUUUCUAUGGAUCAAUCUAAAACUCCUACCAAGUUCAGUAUCUUCUGUGUAAGCUUGGAGAGAUGCCUUAAGGACUCUGUAAAAGUCACCUCUCUCUGUGCUGAGUCUGGCUUCAGAUUUCUCUCUUGUAUCAUGAGAAAUUAGAACUGAAGAAAAAGAAAGAUUCAAGGUUUUCAAAUGCCAUAUUCAGCCAAGAAGUGAUACACUUGUGAAGACUGAAAGACUGCCUAACUUGAGAAGAAUCACACCCAUGAACACUGUCUGAAACAAACUUAAUAAAAAACAUAUAACUAUUCUAUGAAA